UACGGAGGGUGCAAACGUUGCUCGGAAUCAUUGGGCGUAAAGCGUGUGUAGGCGGUCUAUUAAGUCGGAUGUGAAAGCCCUGGGCUCAACCCAGGAAGUGCACUCGAAACUGGUAGACUUGAGUAUCGGAGAGGUUGGUGGAAUUCUCGGUGUAGAGGUGAAAUUCGUAGAUAUCGAGAGGAACACCGGUGGCGAAGGCGGCCAACUGGACGAAUACUGACGCUGAGACACGAAAGCGUGGGGAGCAAACAGG
rnacentral:rRNA from 1 species